rnacentral:rRNA from 1 species
GACGAACGCUGGCGGCAUGCCUAAUACAUGCAAGUCGAGCGAACAGAUGAAGUGCUUGCACUUCUGACGUUAGCGGCGAACGGGUGAGUAACACGUAAGGAAUCUACCUAUAAGCGGGGGAUAACAUUCGGAAACGGGUGCUAAUACCGCAUAAUAUCUUCUUCCGCAUGGAAGAAGAUUGAAAGACGGCUCUGCUGUCACUUAUAGAUGACCUUGCGGUGCAUUAGUUAGUUGGUGGGGUAAUAGCCUACCAAGACGAUGAUGCAUAGCCGACCUGGGCGGGUGAUCGGCCACAUUGGGACUGAGACACGGCCCAAACUCCUACGGGAGGCAGCAGUAGGGAAUCUUCCGCAAUGGGCGAAAGCCUGACGGAGCAAUGCCGCGUGAGUGAAGAAGGCCUUCGGGUCGUAAAACUCUGUUAUAAGAGAAGAACAAAUUGUAGAGUAACUGCUACAGUCUUGACGGUAUCUUAUCAGAAAGCCACGGCUAACUACGUGCCAGCCGCCGCAGUAA